rnacentral:misc_RNA from 1 species
GAUGAAGAACGCAGCGAAAUGCGAUACUUGGUGUGAAUUGCAGAAUCCCGUGAACCAUCGAGUCUUUGAACGCAAGUUGCGCCCGAAGCCGUCAGGCCGAGGGCACGCCUGCCUGGGCGUCACACGCCGUUGCCCCCCCGCGCCCCGCACCCAACUCUUUGGGAGCGACCGCGGGGCGGGCUGAUGAUGGCCUCCCGUGCGCUCCGCCGCGCGGUUGGCCCAAAUACCGAGUCCCCGGCGACGUGCGCCACGACGAUCGGUGGUUGAGAGACCUCUGUCGCAAGUCGUGCGCGCCCGUCGCGUCACGCGGGCUCGCAUAGCGCCUCGCGCCGCACCCGGUGCGGAGCUUUCAACGCGACCCCAGGUCAGGCGGGGUUACCCGCUGAAUUUAAGCAUAUCAAUAAGCGGAGG